ACAGUUCUGGGCCCACCAGUCACUGGCUAUGGGGCCACCUGGGAGGGGUGUGUGAAUUCCCAGGCACUUGCAUCUCUGCAGGAGUGCAAGGGCAGGCCCCUGAAGUAGGUUUAAGUGAUCGCUCUUGGAGGUGAUGCAUAAUGAAGCUGGGGGAGCAACAAGAAAUACCUUCAUCUUUUUAGAGAAGAGUGAAAUUGAAGCCAGAGAGGUUGCUUAACUUGCCCAAGAUCACAAAGCUUCCAAGAUGAAGAGCUGGGAUUUCAUUUCAGGUUUCCCAUUUGGCAACAUCCAAGCCCUUUCCAUAAUUCCACACUGUGAAUUUGCUUCCCAAACCAAGAGUGGGAUACAAUUAACUGGGGAGUGCCACUCAUCCCUCAAUCACUGAUCUGAGUAUGGAUAUCAAAAGAAACAUUUCCUGAAGCAAGACACUGAGCUGGAAGCUUCCACGGUUGUGCCUAUACUGUGGCAGUCCUGUGCGAACCUGUCCGGCACCAUGGAAACCUGCAGGGCUGAGGUCUCCCAGGGCAAAUGGGGCUGCAGGAUGCUCACUACACCCCCAGAAACAGGAGAAGGGACAAGGACACAGGACUGUCUGUGAGCAACACUGACUUUCGGCACAGGAGAGAUCCCCUGCCCCUCCUCACUCCAGAAUAUUGCUAAGAACAUAAUUGAUCUCUCUCCUUCUCAUUCACUCACAUCUCCCAAAACAAAGGAAGAAAGACCCAUUCAACUGAUCAGAGCCUGACUUUCCAUUGCUGAGCCAUGUUUUACUAUUGAGUGGGGCAACUGCUUUAAAAAUCCAUUUGUUGGUGCAUUUUCUUGCCAGCUAUUUCUUCAUUUACAGGGUUCUGAGAGGCCUGUCCUCUGCUUCCUCCACCCAUCCAAUACGUACCACCUGUCUGCUGAGGGGCUCAGUGGCUUAGUGGUUUCAACCCUGGCUACACCAUGGAACCAUCUGGGGAGCUUUCCAAGUACUGAUGCCUGAACCUUAGUCUCAGAUUAAUGGAAACCUGAGGAAUGGGGACCCAUGACCUGGAGUCUGUAAGGCUUCCCCAUUGAUGUGAUGCUUGGUGAAAUCUGUUUGGUUCAGUGUGGGUCGGUGUGAGUGAGGAACCAAGUGAGCUGAUCAUGUAGAGCUCUCCACAUAUGAUUUGUGGGGAAGACAAGGACAUUUAUUCUUUCAAUUGGUUCAUUCGACAACUACUUACUGAGCAACUACUAGAUGCCAGCCGUGGUUCUGAAUGCUGGGAAUAGAGCGGUAAAAAUGCAGAGGACAUGCAAAUUGAAACAACGGAAUACUACUACACGCCUACUGGAGUGAACAAAAUCCAAACACUGACAACUCCAAGUGCUGAUGAGGAUGUGGAGGGAGCAGCAGGAACUCUCAUUCCUCCCUGGUGGGAAUCCAAAAUGGCACAGCCAUUUUGGAAAACAGAUUGGCAAUGUCUUACCAAACUAAGCCUACUCUUACUAUACAAUCCAGCAAUCAUUUUCCUUAGUAUUUAUGCAGUGGAGUUGAAAAUGUACAUCUGCAGAAAAACUUGCAC